rnacentral:rRNA from 1 species
AUGGAGCGGGCGGAGGCGGAGGUGGAGAUGGCCGGCAACGGCGACGCAGUCCACACGCCCCACUCCGCGCCGCCGACGGCGCCGUCGGCGCGGGUGUCGAUCUGGGAGUCGGUCCGCGCGUGCGGGGUGUGGGGCCGCGACGUCGACAAGGCCGAGCUGCGGCGCCGCGUCGUCAUGCCGCUCUACGCGCGGAGGGCCGUCGCCGCCGCCGUCGCCGAGAAGGACGAGGCCGCCGGCGUGGCGGCCGCCGCGGCGGCGAGGGACGAGGCGGUGGGGGGCGCGGAGGAGGAGGACGGGCUGGAGGUGGUGACGCCGAUGGUCGUGUUCGUCAACUCCAAGAGCGGCGGGCGCCACGGGCCCGAGCUCAAGGUGCGGCUCCACGAGCUCAUCAGCAAGGAGCAGGUCUUCGAUCUUUCUGUUGUGAAGCCUUCUGAUUUUGUUCGCUAUGGUUUGGGCUGUUUGGAGAGGUUGGCUGAUCAAGGUGAUAACUGUGCAAAGGACAUCCGUGCAAAUUUGAGGAUUAUGGUUGCUGGAGGUGAUGGCACUGUUGGUUGGGUACUUGGAUGUCUCCAAGAACUUAAUAAGUCAAAAAGGGAACCAGUUCCUCCCACAGGAAUCAUUCCACUUGGGACAGGAAACGACCUUGCUAGAUCAUUUGGAUGGGGUGGCUCUUUUCCCUUUGGUUGGCGUUCAGCUGUAAAGCGAUAUCUCAACAAGGCAGUGUCUGCUUCGGUCGUCCAUCUUGACAGUUGGCAGGCUGUGAUUAGGAUGCCAGAGGGAGAAAUAACAGAGUUGCCACAUGCACUUAAGAAAGCGGAACCUGCUGAUCAGCUGGAGUUCAGCAAGGCAAGUGGCAGUGAGUUAACCGAAAAGGCUUCUUGCUAUAAAGGAGUAUUCUACAACUACCUUAGCAUUGGGAUGGAUGCCCAAGUUGCAUAUGGCUUCCACCAUCUACGAGAUGAAAAGCCAUAUCUUGCUCAAGGACCAGUUGCAAAUAAGUUGAUUUAUGCUGGAUAUAGCUGCACGCAGGGAUGGUUCUGUACCCCUUGUACAGCAAGUCCUCAGCUAAGGGGACUUCGGAACAUUUUGCGGCUUUACAUUAAAAGGGCCAAUUGUUCUGAAUGGGAGCAAAUUCAAAUGCCUUCAAGUGUUAGAUCCAUAGUGGUCUUAAAUCUGGACAACUACGCCAGUGGAAAGCAUCCAUGGGGUGAUCUUAAACCGGAUUAUCUUGAAAAGAAAGGUUUUGUUGAAGCUCAUUCAGACGACGGUUUGAUUGAAAUAUUUGGUCUGAAAGAAGGUUGGCAUGCUUCAUUCGUUAUGGCUGAGCUUAUCAAAGCAAAGCACAUUGCUCAGGCUGCAGCUAUCAAGUUUGAAAUGAGGGGAGGCGAGUGGGAUCGAGCAUAUGUUCAAAUGGAUGGUGAGCCAUGGAAACAACCACUCAUCCAGGACCAGUCGACAAUCGUGGAAAUAAACAAGGUUCCCUAUCAUUCCCGGAUGAUAAACGGGGAUUCAUGA